rnacentral:rRNA from 1 species
GAUGAACGCUGGCGGCGUGCCUAAUACAUGCAAGUCGAGCGAACGGACGAGAAGCUUGCUUCUCUGAUGUUAGCGGCGGACGGGUGAGUAACACGUGGAUAACCUACCUAUAAGACUGGGAUAACUUCGGGAAGCCGGAGCUAAUACCGGAUAAUAUUUUGAACCGCAUGGUUCAAAAGUGAAAGACGGUCUUGCUGUCACUUAUAGAUGGAUCCGCGCUGCAUUAGCUAGUUGGUAAGGUAACGGCUUACCAAGGCAACGAUGCAUAGCCGACCUGAGUGGGUGAUCGGCCACACUGGAACUGAGACACGGUCCAGACUCCUACGGGAGGCAGCAGUAGGGAAUCUUCCGCAAUGGGCGAAAGCCUGACGGAGCAACGCCGCGUGAGUGAUGAAGGUCUUCGGAUCGUAAAACUCUGUUAUUAGGGAAGAACAUAUGUGUAAGUAACUGUGCACAUCUUGACGGUACCUAAUCAGAAAGCCACGGCUAACUACGUG